GACGAACGCUGGCGGCGCGCUUAACACAUGCAAGUCGAACGGAAAGGCCUGCUUUCCCUUGUGGAUUGCGGGUACUCGAGUGGCGAACGGGUGAGUAACACGUGAGUGAUCUGCCCCCAACUUGGGUAUAAGCCUGGGAAACUGGGUCUAAUUCCCGAUAGGACUGCAGGGUGGUGCCUGUGGUGGAAAACGAUUUUCUAGUGGUUGGGGAUGAGCUCGCGGCCUAUCAGCUUGUUGGUGGGGGAAUGGCCUACCAAGGCGGCGACGGGUAGCCGGCCUGAGAGGGUGGACGGCCACAUUGGGACUGAGAUACGGCCCAGACUCCUACGGGAGGCAGCAGAGGGGAAUAUUGCACAAUGGGCGGAAGCCUGAUGCAGCGACGCCGCGUGGGGGAUGACGGCCUUCGGGUUGUAAACUCCUUUCGACCGCGAGGAAGCCACCUGGUUGGAAGGGUGGUGACGGUAGUGGUAGAAGAAGCACCGGCUAACUACGUG
rnacentral:rRNA from 1 species